rnacentral:rRNA from 1 species
UACGGAGGGGGCGAGCGUUAUUCGGAAUUAUUGGGCGUAAAGGGCGCGUAGGCGGCUUGACAAGUCAAAGGUGAAAUCCCUCGGCUCAACUGAGGAACUGCCUUUGAAACUGUCUGGCUUGAGGCCGGGAGAGGGUAGCGGAAUUCCCAGUGUAGCGGUGAAAUUCGUAGAUAUUGGGAAGAACACCGGUGGCGAAGGCGGCGACCUGGUCCGAAACUGACGCUGAGGCGCGAAAGCGUGGGGAGCAAACAGG